GUGUGAAAUAGGUUAACAUACAAAUACUAAAGUUGGAACGAUACAGAGAAGAUUAGCAUGGCCCCUCCACAAGGAUGACUCAUAAAUUUGUGAAGUGUCCCACAGUUAG